GUUCUGAGUCUUCAAGUGACACUGAUUUUGGAGGACACCACAGUAUCUAGCGUUGAGCACUUGGUCCCUAAUUGGUGACAGCGCAUGGCAAGGUUCAGGAGGAAAGGCAUCACUGGGGACAGGCCUUAAGGCCUCCAGCCACGCCAAGUUUGAUCUCUGUACUUCCUGCCUGUGUGAGCCCUCAGCUUGCUGCUCCAGCCGCCAAGCCUGCUGCUGCCGCCAUGGUUCCAGUCCCCUGAUGGUGACGGACUCCUGUCCUUCUGGAACUGUAAGCCCAAACAAGCCCUUCCUUCCGUAAGCCGCCUUGGUCAUUGCGCUCUUAUCCCAGCAAGAGAAAAGUAACUAAUGCAUGAGGAAACCAUGUAGAGGGGGUUUCCAGGAUGCAUACAGGGCCCUUGAAGCCCUCUGAGGAACCCUGACUCACUGAGUCUCAUUACCAUUUGCUAUUUAGAGUUUGCUGAAACCAUACAGCAAUAUCACCCUUGUUUUCUUCAGACGCCUAAUAUGAAAAUCAGCUUUAGAAAGAGAAAAGGAGUCCAGCAAGGAAACUUCAGAAAAUCUGGAGAGACUGGAGGAAUUCAUACCCUGUAUGUAAAAGAGGGCGGACUUCCUCAGUUUUCCUGCUGGAAUGUUUUACUUCCCAGUGGGCCAAGUUGGUUGACUGUGUGGAUUUGGAGCCCAGUGAACACAUGCCAUUAGCACCAGUGAGUGACAUCACAAGACACCUCUCCCUGCUUUACUCAGAAAACCGCAUACACGUGUGAAACACAACCAUGAAUGAAUGUAACUACGAGGACGAAAGACAGAACCACUGGGUGCUGCAGGAUGGAUCGCACUCAGGGCGAGGCCUGCCGGGAGCCCGUGGGUGGACUCCCCCAGUCCUGUGAUCUAACAAACCACAGACUAGGCUGGGGAACCACCAGAUUGGUGAAGAGGACUGAAUUCAUAACGGCGACCAGAGUGGAAGCCGCUACAAUGCUUAACGUUCACCAGAAAUCCGCAGCACCCAUGACGAGGCAAGCGUGGAAUAAAUACUGGUGAUCAACAAACAGCAAUGAUCAAUGCUGCCCAGCAGGAAGUCAGUGUGCAACAGAGACGAAGGACCCACAGAGAGAGGCAUGUCCACGAAGACCUGUGGGGUGGAAGCUGGGCUCCAACUCCAGGGAAAUGUCCUGGCACAGUAACCUACCCCAGGGGCUGGAGCCCGAGAGCAGAUGCCGAUGUGUGCAGUUAGAAGAACAAUUAGACUGUUCUUCACACACAGCGCUAAGGAAACGGGCGCUGCGGAGAUGCCACAGCCACCUCUCUUUGCUUUUUACUCUGUGUCUUUAGUGUGCACAGGGUGACGUCUGGACACACACGCAGAGGCAAGCGGAGUGAUUACUGAGCCGAGCAAGUUAAUCUCCUCGCCUUCAUUUCCUCCUCCCCCUAUUAGUCACUUUUCUGUGGCUGUGACAAAGCAACUUUGGCCCUACAGUUGCAGAGGACUCGAGUCCACCGUGGUGGGGAAGGGCUGGGCGUGCUUGCCGGAGCAAGAAGCUGGUUGGCUAUGGUUCCAUUUACACAGAAGCGGAGAAGAGGGAACAGGAAAUGGGUGAGGCUGAUAACAGCCGCAGCCUGCUCCAGUAAUGCCCUUCCUCCAGCAAGGCCCCGCCUCCCAGAGGUGACACUCCCUCCUCAAGCAGCACCAACAACUGAAGACGAAGUGGUCAAAUACACGCAAAUACACGAGCCAAUGGGGGACAGUUCUCACUGAAACCACCCUGUCUAUCGCCUGACCUCUAUGGGUCCCUAGUAAUACCGCAGGGGUCCAGGACACGCACCCCCCUCUUCUGUCCCAUGGAAAAGGCCAUCAAUGCAGCAUAGAAAAGCUCCUGUCAAAGGGACAAGGAUGAUCUCAUCAACUACCCUGUGUUGGGCACCUUGAUCAGGCACCGUGCCAAGUCCUCAGUUGCACAUCUGCCAUGGACUGCAGGUUCAUCUCCCCCAAGCUCAUAGGUUGAAGCCCCUAAGAUCCAGGGUGAUGGUGUGAGGGGAGAAGGCCUUGGGGAGAUAAUUGUGGCUGGUGAGGUCCUGAGGUUGGAGUCACCACGAUGAGACUGAUGUCAUCCUGAGAGAAAGAGACACCCGCGCUUCUUCUGUGUAAAGAGAUAGCCUCUGCAAGCUCGCAAGGAGCCUUGGGUGGAGCUCAGCCAUGCUAGCACUCUGACUCUGGAUUCCAGAGCCUCCGAAACUGAGAGAUGGAGCUGUUGUCUAAGUCAGGGCUUCCCGGACCUCUUCUAUCCCUGGUGUCUUUGUGUCUGACAAAUCUUCGGGUGACUUCAAGCCAUAGCUAUACGGAACGUGACUAUCAAACGCCCACUGGCAAUAAACAAUAAAGAAAUUUAUCUCACACCAA